rnacentral:rRNA from 1 species
UUCCGGUUGAUCCUGCCGGACCUGACUGCUAUCGGAUUGAUACUAAGCCAUGCGAGUCUUUGUAGUAAUACAAGGCAGACGGCUCAGUAACACGUAGUCAACCUACCCUAUGGACGAGAAUAAUCUCGGGAAACUGAGCAUAAUUCUUGAUAGAUCAUAAUGCCUGGAAUGGUUUAUGGUUAAAAUGAUUCGUCGCCAUAGGAUGGGACUGCGGCCUAUCAGCUUGUUGGUGAGGUAAUGGCCCACCAAGGCGAUUACAGGUACGGGCUCUGAGAGGAGAAGCCCGGAGAUGGGUACUGAGACACGGACCCAGGCCCUAUGGGGCGCAGCAGGCGAGAAAACUUUGCAAUGUGCGAAAGCACGACAAGGUUAAUCCGAGUGAUUUCUGCUAAAGAAAUCUUUUGCCAGUCGUAAAACCGCUGGUGAAUAAGGGGUGGGCAAGUUCUGGUGUCAGCCGCCGCGGUAAAACCAGCACCUCAAGUGGUCAGGAUGAUUAUUGGGCCUAAAGCAUCCGUAGCCUGCUUUGUAAGUUUUCGGUUAAAUCCAUGUGCUCAACGCAUGGGCUGCCGAAAAUACUGCAUAGCUAGGGAGUGGGAGAGGUAGACGGUACUCAGUAGGUAGGGGUAAAAUCCUUUGAUCUAUUGAUGACCACCUGUGGCGAAGGCGGUCUACCAGAACACGUUCGACGGUGAGGGAUGAAAGCUGGGGGAGCAAACCGGAUUAGAUACCCGGGUAGUCCCAGCUGUAAACGAUGCAGACUCGAUGAUGCAUUGGCAUAAUAGCCAUUGCAGUGUCGCAGGGAAGCCGUUAAGUCUGCCGCCUGGGAAGUACGUACGCAAGUAUGAAACUUAAAGGAAUUGGCGGGGGAGCAUCACAAGGGGUGAAGCCUGCGGUUCAAUUGGAGUCAACGCCGGGA